GACGAACGCUGGCGGCGUGCUUAACACAUGCAAGUCGAACGGAAAGGCCCUGCUUUUGUGGGGUGCUCGAGUGGCGAACGGGUGAGUAACACGUGAGUAACCUGCCCUUGACUUUGGGAUAACUUCAGGAAACUGGGGCUAAUACCGGAUAGGAGCUCCUGCUGCAUGGGGGGGGUUGGAAAGUGUCGGCGGUUGGGGAUGGACUCGCGGCUUAUCAGCUUGUUGGUGUGGUAGUGGCUUACCAAGGCUUUGACGGGUAGCCGGCCUGAGAGGGUGACCGGCCACAUUGGGACUGCGAUACGGACCAGACUCCUACGGGAGGCAGCAGUGGGGAGUAUUGCAGAAUGGGCGGAAGCCUGAUGCAGCAGCGCCGCGUGCGGGAUAACGGCUUUCGGGUUGUAAACCGCUUUCGACUGUGCCGAAGCGUGAGUGACGGUAAUGGGUAAAGAAGCACCGGCUAACUACGUG
rnacentral:rRNA from 1 species